rfam:Candida tropicalis MYA-3404 mitochondrial scaffold supercont3.24, whole genome shotgun sequence.
UGACAUAUAGUAUAAUGGUAGUACUCAUCACUACGGAUGAUGAAAUAGGUGUUCGAAUCGCCUUAUGUCGG